UACGAAGGGGGCGAGCGUUGUUCGGAUUUACUGGGCGUAAAGGGCGCGCAGGCGGCCAUUCAAGUCAGGCGUGAAAGCCCCGGGCUUAACCUGGGAGGUGCGCUUGGGACUGGGUGGCUAGAGAUCGGGAGAGGAGAGUGGAAUUCCCAGUGUAGAGGUGAAAUUCGUAGAUAUUGGGAAGAACACCGGUGGCGAAGGCGGCUCACUGGCCCGUAACUGACGCUCAUGCACGACAGCGUGGGGAUCAAACAGG
rnacentral:rRNA from 1 species